CCACUAUUGACGAAUGGUGGUAGCAAAACUUGGUCUGAAGAACCAGCAGAUGUAGUCUAGAAUGCAUCUGUGACUUAAAGGCUAUAUUAAAGAGUUGAAACCUGUGCU
ncrna:unclassified sequences RAGATH-34 RNA